UACGAAGGGUGCGAGCGUUACUCGGAAUUACUGGGCGUAAAGGGUGCGUAGGCGGCUCGUUACGUCUGUCGUGAAAUCCCCGGGCUCAACCUGGGAAUGGCGAUGGAUACUGGCGAGCUAGAGUGUGUCAGAGGAUGGUGGAAUUCCCGGUGUAGCGGUGAAAUGCGUAGAGAUCGGGAGGAACAUCAGUGGCGAAGGCGGCCAUCUGGGACAACACUGACGCUGAGGCGCGAAAGCCAGGGGAGCAAACGGG
rnacentral:rRNA from 1 species